rnacentral:rRNA from 1 species
AUUGAACGCUGGCGGCAUGCUUUACACAUGCAAGUCGAACGGUAACAGGCCGCAAGGUGCUGACGAGUGGCGAACGGGUGAGUAAUGCAUCGGAACGUGCCCAGUCGUGGGGGAUAACGGAGCGAAAGCUGCGCUAAUACCGCAUACGAGCUAUGGAUGAAAGCGGGGGACCGGAAGGUCGCGCGCGACUGGAACGGCCGAUGUCAGAUUAGGUAGUUGGUGGGGUAAAGGCUCACGAAGCAAACGAUCUGUAGCUGGUCUGAGAGGACGACCAGCCACACUGGGACUGGGACACGGCCCAGACUCCUAAGUGAGGCAGCAGUGGGGAAUUUUGGACAAUGGGCGCAAGCCUGAUCCAGCAAUGCCGCGUGCAGGAAGAAGGCCUUCGGGUUGUAAACUGAUUUUGUACGGAACGAAACGGCUCUCUCUAAUACAGGGGGCUAAUGACGGUACCGUAAGAAUAAGCACCGGCUAACUACGUGCCAGCAGCCGCCGUAAGAC